rnacentral:rRNA from 1 species
UUAAUUGAAGAGUUUGAUCAUGGCUCAGAUUGAACGCUGGCGGCAGGCCUAACACAUGCAAGUCGAACGGUAACAGAGAGCAGCUUGCUGCUCUGCUGACGAGUGGCGGACGGGUGAGUAAUGUCUGGGAAACUGCCUGAUGGAGGGGGAUAACUACUGGAAACGGUAGCUAAUACCGCAUAACGUCUUCGGACCAAAGUGGGGGACCUUCGGGCCUCAUGCCAUCAGAUGUGCCCAGAUGGGAUUAGCUAGUAGGUGGGGUAAAGGCUCACCUAGGCGACGAUCCCUAGCUGGUCUGAGAGGAUGACCAGCCACACUGGAACUGAGACACGGUCCAGACUCCUACGGGAGGCAGCAGUGGGGAAUAUUGCACAAUGGGCGCAAGCCUGAUGCAGCCAUGCCGCGUGUAUGAAGAAGGCCUUCGGGUUGUAAAGUACUUUCAGCGAGGAGGAAGGGGUUGUGGUUAAUAACCGCAGCCAUUGACGUUACUCGCAGAAGAAGCACCGGCUAACUCCGUGCCAGCAGCCGCGGUAAUACGGAGGGUGCAAGCGUUAAUCGGAAUUACUGGGCGUAAAGCGCACGCAGGCGGUUUGUUAAGUCAGAUGUGAAAUCCCCGGGCUCAACCUGGGAACUGCAUUUGAAACUGGCAAGCUUGAGUCUCGUAGAGGGGGGUAGAAUUCCAGGUGUAGCGGUGAAAUGCGUAGAGAUCUGGAGGAAUACCGGUGGCGAAGGCGGCCCCCUGGACGAAGACUGACGCUCAGGUGCGAAAGCGUGGGGAGCAAACAGGAUUAGAUACCCUGGUAGUCCACGCCGUAAACGAUGUCGACUUGGAGGUUGUGCCCUUGAGGCGUGGCUUCCGGAGCUAACGCGUUAAGUCGACCGCCUGGGGAGUACGGCCGCAAGGUUAAAACUCAAAUGAAUUGACGGGGGCCCGCACAAGCGGUGGAGCAUGUGGUUUAAUUCGAUGCAACGCGAAGAACCUUACCUGGUCUUGACAUCCAGAGAAUCCUGCAGAGAUGCGGGAGUGCCUUCGGGAACUCUGAGACAGGUGCUGCAUGGCUGUCGUCAGCUCGUGUUGUGAAAUGUUGGGUUAAGUCCCGCAACGAGCGCAACC